rnacentral:rRNA from 12 species
AAACGACUCUCGGCAACGGAUAUCUCGGCUCUCGCAUCGAUGAAGAACGUAGCGAAAUGCGAUACUUGGUGUGAAUUGCAGAAUCCCGUGAAUCAUCGAGUCUUUGAACGCAAGUUGCGCCCGAAGCCUUUCGGCCGAGGGCACGUCUGCCUGGGUGUCACGC